rnacentral:lncRNA from 1 species
GGGAUGUAGAAAGAGUCCUACGUGAGGACAAUAUGGGCAGAAAUAAUCGGGUCUAAGACUGUCAUAAUCUCAUGAGGGAUGUAGAAAGAGUCCUACGUGAGGAGAAUAUGGGCAGAAAUAAUCGGGUCUAAGACUGUCAUAAUCUCAUGAGGGAUGUAGAAAGAGUCCUACGUGAGGAGAAUAUGGGCAGAAAUAAUCGGGUCUAAGACUGUCAUAAUCACAUGAGGGACGUAGAAAGAGCCUCACGCAAGGACAAUAUGGUCAGAAACACCGGGUCUAAGACUGUCAUAAUCACAUGAGGGACGUAGAAAGAGCCUCACGCAAGGACAAUAUGGUCAGAAACACCGGGUCUAAGACUGUCAUAAUCACAUGAGGGGCGUAGAAAGAGCCUCACGCAAGGACAAUAUGGUCAGAAACACCGGGUCUAAGACUGUCAUAAUCACAUGAGGGGCAUAGAAAGAGCCCCUCGCAAGGACAAUAUGGUCAGAAACACCGAUGAGCAUUUUGCACCCUUCACAUUUAAAAUCUUCUUGUUUUUACUUUUAUUUUAAUUAAGCAAUAUUUAAAAUUUAGUGUUUCUCUUAUUAUAGGGUCUAAGACUGUCAUAAUCACAUGACGGGCGUAGAAAGAUCCCCACGCAAGGACAAUGUGGUCAGAAACACCGGGUCUAAGACUGUCAUAAUCGCAUGAGGGACGUCGAAGGAGCCCCACGUAAGGAUAAUAUGGACAGGAAUAACCGUUGAACAUUUUGCACCCUUUAUUUUUAAAAUCUUCUUACUUUUACUUUUAUUUUAACUAAGCAAUAUUGAAAGCUUAGUUUCUCCUUUCCUAAAGGGUCUUAGACUGUCAUAAUCUCAUGAGGGAUGUAGAAAGAGUCCUACG